AAAGGUUUUUAGAAGAGUAAAAUUAGUUCUUAAAUAAGAGAUUUUUGAUACACUCUGUCUUCCACUUAAAAAUUCCCUAAUAUUUAAUUAUUAUAUUCUACAUC
rnacentral:sRNA from 1 species